GCGGCAGGCCUAACACAUGCAAGUCGAACGGUAACAGGAAGAAGCUUGCUUCUUUGCUGACGAGUGGCGGACGGGUGAGUAAUGUCUGGGAAACUGCCUGAUGGAGGGGGAUAACUACUGGAAACGGUAGCUAAUACCGCAUAACGUCGCAAGACCAAAGAGGGGGACCUUCGGGCCUCUUGCCAUCGGAUGUGCCCAGAUGGGAUUAGCUUGUUGGUGGGGUAACGGCUCACCAAGGCGACGAUCCCUAGCUGGUCUGAGAGGAUGACCAGCCACACUGGAACUGAGACACGGUCCAGACUCCUACGGGAGGCAGCAGUGGGGAAUAUUGCACAUGGGCGCAAGCCUGAUGCAGCCAUGCCGCGUGUAUGAAGAAGGCCUUCGGGUUGUAAAGUACCUUCAGCGGGGAGGAAAGGGAGUAAAGUAAUACCUUUGCUCAUUGACGUUACCCCGCAAAAAACACCCGCUAACUCCGUGCCCGCCGCCCCGGUAAUCCGGAGGGUGGCAGCCUUAAUCCGAAUUCCUGGGCGUAAAGCCCCCCCCCGGCGGUUUGUUAAGUCAGAUGUGAAAUCCCCGGGGUUCAACCUGGGGACUUGCAUCUGAUACUUGGCAAGCUUGAGUCUCGUAGAGGGGGGGUAGAAAUCCAGGGUGUAGCGGUGAAAUGCGUAGAGAUCUGGAGGAAUACCGGUGGCCGAAGGGCGCCCCCCUGGACGAAGACUGACGCUCAGGUGCGAAAGCGUGGGGAGCAAACAGGAUUAGAUACCCUGGUAGUCCACGCCGUAAACGAUGUCGACUUGGAGGUUGUGCCCUUGAGGCGUGGCUUCCGGAGCUAACGCGUUAAGUCGACCGCCUGGGGAGUACGGCCGCAAGGUUAAGACUCAAAUGAAUUGACGGGGGCCCGCACAAGCGGUGGAGCAUGUGGUUUAAUUCGAUGCAACGCGAAGAACCUUACCUGGUCUUGACAUCCACGGAAGUUUUCAGAGAUGAGAAUGUGCCUUCGGGAACCGUGAGACAGGUGCUGCAUGGCUGUCGUCAGCUCGUGUUGUGAAAUGUUGGGUUAAGUCCCGCAACGAGCGCAACCCUUAUCCUUUGUUGCCAGCGGUCCGGCCGGGAACUCAAAGGAGACUGCCAGUGAUAAACUGGAGGAAGGUGGGGAUGACGUCAAGUCAUCAUGGCCCUUACGACCAGGGCUACACACGUGCUACAAUGGCGCAUACAAAGAGAAGCGACCUCGCGAGAGCAAGCGGACCUCAUAAAGUGCGUCGUAGUCCGGAUUGGAGUCUGCAACUCGACUCCAUGAAGUCGGAAUCGCUAGUAAUCGUGGAUCAGAAUGCCACGGUGAAUACGUUCCCGGGCCUUGUACACACCGCCCGUCACACCAUGGGAGUGGGUUGCAAAAGAAGUAGGUAGCUUAACCUUCGGGAGGACGCUUACCACUUUGUGAUUCAUGACUGGGGUGA
rnacentral:rRNA from 1 species